rnacentral:rRNA from 1 species
GACGAACGCUGGCGGCGUGCUUAACACAUGCAAGUCGAACGGAAAGGCCCUGCUUUUGUGGGGUGCUCGAGUGGCGAACGGGUGAGUAACACGUGAGUAACCUGCCCUUGACUUUGGGAUAACUUCAGGAAACUGGGGCUAAUACCGGAUAGGAGCUCCUGCUGCAUGGUGGGGGUUGGAAAGUUUCGGCGGUUGGGGAUGGACUCGCGGCUUAUCAGCUUGUUGGUGGGGUAGUGGCUUACCAAGGCUUUGACGGGUAGCCGGCCUGAGAGGGUGACCGGCCACAUUGGGACUGAGAUACGGCCCAGACUCCUACGGGAGGCAGCAGCGGGGAAUAUUGCACAAUGGGCGGAAGCCUGAUGCAGCAACGCCGCGUGCGGGAUGACGGCCUUCGGGUUGUAAACCGCUUUCGCCUGUGACGAAGCGUGAGUGACGGUAAUGGGUAAAGAAGCACCGGCUAACUACGUGCCAGCAGCCGCGGUGAUACGUAGGGUGCGAGCGUUGUCCGGAUUUAUUGGGCGUAAAGGGCUCGUAGGUGGUUGAUCGCGUCGGAAGUGUAAUCUUGGGGCUUAACCCUGAGCGUGCUUUCGAUACGGGUUGACUUGAGGAAGGUAGGGGAGAAUGGAAUUCCUGGUGGAGCGGUGGAAUGCGCAGAUAUCAGGAGGAACACCAGUGGCGAAGGCGGUUCUCUGGGCCUUUCCUGACGCUGAGGAGCGAAAGCGUGGGGAGCGAACAGGCUUAGAUACCCUGGUAGUCCACGCUGUAAACGGUGGGUACUAGGUGUGGGGUCCAUUCCACGGGUUCCGUGCCGUAGCUAACGCUUUAAGUACCCCGCCUGGGGAGUACGGCCGCAAGGCUAAAACUCAAAGGAAUUGACGGGGCCCCGCACAAGCGGCGGAGCAUGCGGAUUAAUUCGAUGCAACGCGUAGAACCUUACCUGGGUUUGACAUGGAUCGGGAGUGCUCAGAGAUGGGUGUGCCUCUUUUGGGGUCGGUUCACAGGUGGUGCAUGGCUGUCGUCAGCUCGUGUCGUGAGAUGUUGGGUUAAGUCCCGCAACGAGCGCAACCCUUGUUCACUGUUGCCAGCACGUUAUGGUGGGGACUCAGUGGAGACCGCCGGGGUCAACUCGGAGGAAGGUGGGGAUGACGUCAAGUCAUCAUGCCCCUUAUGUCCAGGGCUUCACGCAUGCUACAAUGGCUGGUACAGAGAGUGGCGAGCCUGUGAGGGUGAGCGAAUCUCGGAAAGCCGGUCUCAGUUCGGAUUGGGGUCAGCAACUCGACCUCAUGAAGUCGGAGUCGCUAGUAAUCGCAGAUCAGCAACGCUGCGGUGAAUACGUUCCCGGG